rnacentral:lncRNA from 1 species
UAAAUAUUAUCGGAAUAGCUGUCGAACAAUAGCCUACUUACAUUUCAGGCGGUGGCAAAGGAAAUAAAAAAGCGCCCGAGGUAAUGGAGCCCCCAUCAGCGCUCCGUUUGAUUUACCGUCUUUAAAAAGUAGACUCAGCCCUUGGUUCGGUAUUCAAACAUCACCACAAGCAAAACAACUUCAAGUAACAUUUGCAGACCUUGUAGAAAUACCUUAUCGCGACGGAAUCGGAAGUUCCCAUACGCAUGAUCCGCGACUUUUCGUGUUUUCAAGCGCGCCCAGCCGUCCUCGCUUUCUCUCUUCUCGGGAGGGGAAAUAAUAGUAAUGGUAAUAAAUAACUCGGAGAUGAAUUUCUCCUCCGAACGGUAAUCCAAGCUUGGAAGUAAUCACAGUAACACUUGAAGGGCUCUCAACUCGGUAGCCACAUCCGUCCGUCCAUCCUCCCAUCCACCCAUCGCCGCUUCGGUGGUCGUUACGCAGCGCGGAGCGGAGCGGAGAUGCGCGCAGGAAGGGCUCGACGCUCCGGGGAUGAGCCGACUCUGGGGUGGGGGGGUGGUGGUGGGGGAGAAAUAAAAAACCAACAACUUCGUCCUGCACCCGGGAGUCCUGGCAGGUCACGUGAUGCGCGCUUAUAGGGACGGAUCAUAUACAGAGGGAGACGCGCUCACGCACGUGGCGGCGGAGAGGCCAGAAAGAACCAAGUGCAAAGAAACCCGGCGGAACGGUUCCGACUCGGUGCAACUUCUGCUCCCAGCGGACGCUCCGAACAACGCAGACCUGAGCGAGGAGUCAGCGGAGAGAGGAACGGCGCCUUCAGGCUGAUGAAACUGGCAAGAUAAGAAAAAUUCCAUUCUGCAGGAUGGGGAAUGGAUGGAUCCAGAAUAUGUGAUGGAGAUGACGCAUUACAGACAAGUUGGUCAUGAAAAAGACAAACUCUGAGAGGGAAUCGUGCCAUCUAUCUCUGUUUCCUCAUAAACAAACCCCACCACAUCCUCCUCCUCCUCCUCCUCACUGCCUGCUGGAUCCGGAGCCUCAUUAAGCCUUCUGACGUAUGCGAGGAGGGGGGAGAUCCAGCACUUCUUGCUUGAGGGGGCUUCCCCUAGCAGCCAUGCAGCACUCCUGUAGCUCACAUGUGCAGCGUCUCACCAGCAUAUCUCAAGAUUCUGUGAAAUAUGUAUGUUGUUGAUGUAUUAUUGAAACCUGGCAAAGAAGAAAAAGACACAGAGACACCAUAA